rnacentral:rRNA from 1 species
AUUGAACGCUGGCGGCAUGCCUUACACAUGCAAGUCGAACGGCAGCACGGGGGGUAACCCCUGGUGGCGAGUGGCGAACGGGUGAGUAAUAUAUCGGAACGUGUCCUGUAGCGGGGGAUAACCUAUCGAAAGAUGGACUAAUACCGCAUACGACCUACGGGUGAAAGCGGAGGACCGCAAGGCUUCGCACUAUAGGAGCGGCCGAUAUCGGAUUAGCUAGUUGGCGGGGUAACGGCCCACCAAGGCGACGAUCCGUAGCUGGUCUGAGAGGACGAUCAGCCGCACUGGAACUGAGACACGGUCCAGACUCCUACGGGAGGCAGCAGUGGGGAAUUUUGGACAAUGGGCGCAAGCCUGAUCCAGCCAUGCCGCGUGAGUGAAGAAGGCCUUCGGGUUGUAAAGCUCUUUCGGCGGGGACGAAACGGUUCGUGCUAAUACCACGGACUACUGACGGUACCCGCAGAAGAAGCACCGGCUAACUACGU